GCAUUAGUGGCUCAGUGGUAGAAUCCUUGCCUUCCACGUGGGAGACCCGGGUUCAUUUCCCGGUCAGUGCA
rnacentral:tRNA from 1 species